rnacentral:rRNA from 1 species
GACGUAGGGAGCGAGCGUUGUCCGGAUUCAUUGGGCGUAAAGAGCGCGUAGGCGGCCGUGCAAGUCGGUUGUGAAAUCCCGGGGCUCAACCCCGGGACUGCGUCCGAUACUGCACGGCUCGAGGCAGGUAGGGGAGACUGGAAUUCCUGGUGUAGCGGUGAAAUGCGCAGAUAUCAGGAGGAACACCGGUGGCGAAGGCGGGUCUCUGGGCCGAUACUGACGCUGAGGAGCGAAAGCGUGGGGAGCGAACAGG